rnacentral:rRNA from 1 species
AGUGAACGCUGGCGGCAGGCCUAACACAUGCAAGUCGAACGGCAGCACAGUAAGAGCUUGCUCUUACGGGUGGCGAGUGGCGGACGGGUGAGGAAUACAUCGGAAUCUACUUUUUCGUGGGGGCGAACGUAGGGACACUUACGCUAAUACCGCAUACGACCUACGGGUGGAAUCAUGGGAUCUUCGGACCUUGCGCGAUCCAAUGAGCCGAUGUCGGAUUAGCUAGUUGGCGGGGUAAAGGCCCACCAAGGCGACGAUCCGUAGCUGGUCUGAGAGGAUGAUCAGCCACACUGGAACUGAGACACGGUCCAGACUCCUACGGGAGGCAGCAGUGGGGAAUAUUGGACAAUGGGCGCAAGCCUGAUCCAGCCAUGCCGCGUGGGUGAAGAAGGCCUUCGGGUUGUAAAGCCCUUUUGUUGGGAAAGAAAAGCAGCAGGUUAAUACCCCGCUGUUCUGACGGUACCCAAAGAAUAAGCACCGGCUAACUUCGUG